CCUACGGGAGGCAGCAGUGAGGAAUAUUGGUCAAUGGACGCAAGUCUGAACCAGCCAUGCCGCGUGCAGGAUGACGGCUCUAUGAGUUGUAAACUUCUUUUGUACAAGAGUAAACGCAGAUACGCGUGUCUUUCUGACAGUACUUUACGAAUAAGGAUCGGCUAACUCCGUGCCAGCAGCCGCGGUAAUACGGAGGAUUCAAGCGUUAUCCGGAUUUAUUGGGUUUAAAGGGUGCGUAGAUGGGCGGUUAAGUCAGUGGUGAAAUCUUGCGGCUCAACCUUAAAAUUGCAUUUGAUACUGGUCGCCUAGAGAAUAGUUGAGGUAGGCGGAAUGCGUGGUGUAGCGGUGAAAUGCUUAGAGAUCACGAAGAACACCGAUUGCGAAGGCAGCUUACCAAGCUACUACUGACGUUGAGGCUCGAAAGUGUGGGGAGCAAACAGGAUUAGAUACCCGUGUAGUC
rnacentral:rRNA from 1 species